rnacentral:tRNA from 1 species
GGCUCGUUGGUCUAGGGAUAUGAUUCUCGCUUUGGGUGCGAGAGGUCCCGGGUUCAAAUCCUGGACGAGCCC